rnacentral:rRNA from 1 species
UUUUAAAAUUGUUUGCCUGAACAUGCCCGAUCCUGUCUGAUCUCGGAAGCUAAGCAGGGUCGGACCUGGUUAGUACUUGGAUGGGAGACUACCUAGGAAGGCCAGGUGCUGUAGGCU